rnacentral:other from 1 species
UGAUCCCUGCUUGGUGCGUGACGGGUUCUUUUAAACCCACAGCGUUAUUUUGGGAUUCCGAGCUUCCGUCUGGGAUGGCAGGCCUCCCGGCUUUUGGCCGGACGUUGGAAGCCGCGAAAAGGCGGAGAGGUUGCCCACCUGCUACUAUGUGCAGGUUAUAACGGGGCUCGCACGGCCCGGCGGGGCGCUU